ACAGUAGAAGGAAUGACAGAUUGAAAGCUCUUUCAUGAUUUACUGGGUGGUGGUGCAUGGCCGUUCUUAGUUGGUGGAGUGAUUUGUCUGGUCAAUUCCGAUAACGAACGAGAUUUUAAUUAUUAUUUUUAUGUUAUUUGUUAUCAAUUAAUAAAACAUAAUAAGACAAUUUAUAAACAGUAAAUGGAAGUAUGAGGCAAUAACAGGUCUGUGAUGCCCUUUGAUGUUCUGGGCUGCACGCGCGCUACACUGAUAAUUUCAAAGAGUAAUACUAUUUUCUCUUGUAAUAAAGGGAUAAUAAUCAUUAUUGAAAAAUAAAGAAAAACUCAAUAAAAGUUAUCGUGAUGGGGAUAGAUGAUUGUAAUUAUUGAUCUUGAACGAGGAAUUCCCAGUAACCAUAAGUCAACAACUUAUGAUGAUUACGUCCCUGCCCUUUGUACACACCGCCCGUCGCUCCUACCGAUUGGAUAAUCCGGUGAAAA
rnacentral:rRNA from 1 species